GAUGAACGCUGGCGGCGUGCCUAAUACAUGCAAGUCGAGCGAACAGAUGAGGAGCUUGCUCCUCUUACGUUAGCGGCGGACGGGUGAGUAACACGUGGAUAACCUACCUAUAAGACUGGGAUAACUUCGGGAAACCGGAGCUAAUACCGGAUAAUAUAUUGAACCGUAUGGUUCAAUAGUGAAAGACGGUUUUGCUGUCACUUAUAGAUGGAUCCGCGCCGCAUUAGCUAGUUGGUAAGGUAACGGCUUACCAAGGCAACGAUGCGUAGCCGACCUGAGAGGGUGAUCGGCCACACUGGAACUGAGACACGGUCCAGACUCCUACGGGAGGCAGCAGUAGGGAAUCUUCCGCAAUGGGCGAAAGCCUGACGGAGCAACGCCGCGUGAGUGAUGAAGGUCUUCGGAUCGUAAAACUCUGUUAUUAGGGAAGAACAAAUGUGUAAGUAACUAUGCACGUCUUGACGGUACCUAAUCAGAAAGCCACGGCUAACUACGUG
rnacentral:rRNA from 1 species